AAAAUGCAAAAACAUGUCAAGGAUGUCAGGACGUGUGGUUUUUCACGAAAAGGCGUGAUCUGUGUCAGGCCUGGGCGUUUCUCUCUGUGUGAUUGUCUGUAUGUAAGGUCUGCACUGUUAUGGGCCUGAAUGGGCGCUGGUAGCUGUCUGACUACAGCCAAACAUAAGCUUGCAGGAAAUACUCUCAGGAAAUACAAACAAGGCUGUUCACAAACACUCUGAAAAACGGAAAGCAACAGCCAGAUCAGAAUAAGAGUCAAGUCACUUACAAUUAUGUCCUAUUCAAUAUAUCCUGCAAUUAACGUUGUGAAUUUUGACUUGCAUGAAGAAAUUAAUCUACAUUUGAUAUCGAAUUCAAAAACAGUUAUCUGAAAAUAGAUACAAUUGACCCAAACUCUGGCAAGCAUCAAAUUAAAACCGAAAUUAGGGUUUCUAUUAGGUUUUUAAAAUCCUAUGGAAAAACAGCAACUACAACUCGUAAUAAGGCUAAGGUGACAGACAGUAGGCUUAACCAUGUUAUUUAAGAAAAACCCUGCAUCUGUUGAUUAAGCCUACCCAGCUGAUGAUAGAAAAACACAGACCAGCAUAGGAGUGCUGUGAUUUUUAUGAGGGAGCCUUCCCCUCUCGUUCUCUCACCACAAAGGCAGUACAGCACAAAUGUUUACUUCACUGAAACCCUGGUAAAAUCCAACAGGUCGAGCAUCAAGGGGAACAGAAACAAUAGAUCCGAUAAAUUUAAAGUAAGCACAUUUUGCCAAAUCGUGUAGCCUAUUGCUUAUGGUGGAUAGCUUAUGAACAGUUAGUUAGUCAGAAUAAAUCCACGAGGAGGGGUCAUCCAGUGACAUAGGAAGAGAGGCUCAAAGACGGUCCGCGCGUUAUGGAGAAUAGCAGUGUAUGUAUUACUGAUCUACAACUCCACAACAACGAGGAAUGUUUUAAAUCCACAACAUCAAAUAAAGGAAAACAUUUAAAUAAAAACAACUGAAGGAUGCAAUACAUUAGUGCCUCCCAUUCACUUUAAGACUUAUGUUGUAGUCAAGGUACUGUAGGUUUCCAUCCAGGUUUUUGUUGUUGUUGCGGUUGUUCUUGUCAA
ensembl:lncRNA